AGCAGUCGCCGCGGUAAUACGGAGGGGGCUAGCGUUGUUCGGAAUUACUGGGCGUAAAGCGCACGUAGGCGGCUUGGUAAGUUAGAGGUGAAAGCCCGGAGCUCAACUCCGGAAUUGCCUUUAAGACUGCCGAGCUAGUAGGUGAGAGAGGUAAGUGGAAUUCCGAGUGUAGAGGUGAAAUUCGUAGAUAUUCGGAAGAACACCAGUGGCGAAGGCGGCUUACUGGCUCAUUCUAGACGCUGAGGUGCGAAAGCGUGGUGAGCAAACAGGAUUAGAUACCCGGGUAGUCCCUGUCUCUUAUAC
rnacentral:rRNA from 1 species